GUGUAUAUGAGUUCAUUUAUCACUAUUGUUUUAUACACUAUUAUGUAUGUCUCACUAUUAUGUAUGGUACAACACAAGUGCCCCUCAUAGUGAACUACCUGCAGUAAAGGUGAAGUGUGUAAUUUAUUUGCAAAACCUGAUUUUUACACUUUUUGAACUUGUGUGUCUAACUGUUUAGUCAGAAAGUGUUCAACAUCCAGAAUAUUACACGCUUCACCUUUAAAUUCUUACAUAUGCUCACACAAGCAUCCAAACAGCCUCCUUUACACACACACACACUGAUUUUGUUUGGUGCUUGUAAUGGUCUGUAUCACACUGCCAAACACACAAUGUUGAUACUCGGUGCCCAUUCCUGUCUCCAGGAUGCGUAUUAGUGAGAAACAAGAGAAACAGAUGAGAUACAGACAAUAAUGGAGAGAGAGAUAAACUGAGGAGAGAAUCUCAUGAAGACAUGGCCAAGUAAUAUUUCACCACAAAAUCAAAAAUAAAUAAAAGAAAUAAUGAUCAUAAAUGGCCCAAAUAUUAUUUUGAAUGUUUUUAAUUGGAUUUUGAGGGUAGAACAUAGUGUCAUGAUAUAAAAAAUUGACCACUUUAAGAUAUAAAAUGUAAUAUUUAAUUAUAUUAAUUUUAUACGGAAUUAUAUAAUUCAUAUUCCAAAUAUUAUUUCAAAUAUUAUUAAUUGAUUUUAAGGUGAAAUAUGAGCUGAAUGUGCUCUUGACAGACAAAGAUGUUUGUAUGUUUGGCUU